AACGAACGCUGGCGGCAUGCCUAACACAUGCAAGUCGAACGAGACCUUCGGGUCUAGUGGCGCACGGGUGCGUAACGCGUGGGAACCUGCCCUUAGGUUCGGAAUAACUCCCCGAAAGGUGUGCUAAUACCGGAUAAUGUCUUCGGACCAAAGAUUUAUCGCCUUUGGAUGGGCCCGCGUUGGAUUAGCUAGUUGGUAGGGUAAAAGCCUACCAAGGCGACGAUCCAUAGCUGGUCUGAGAGGAUGAUCAGCCACACUGGGAAUGAGGCACGGCCCAGACUCCUACGGGAAGGAGCAGUGGGGAAUAUUGGACGAUGGGCGAAAGUCUGAUCCAGCAAUGCCGGGUGAGUGAUGAAGGCCUUAGGGUUGUAAAGCUCUUUUACCCGGGAUGAUAAUGACAGUACCGGGAGAAUAAGCACCGGCUAACUCCGUG
rnacentral:rRNA from 1 species